CCCUUCUCAGGACUGAGCCUGGAGAGUUUCCAGUACUCUACCAGUCUCGGCUACGAGAGGGAGAGUCAAGCAGAGGCCUACCCCUUCCAUUUCUAGUUUGGCCCAUGGCUAGCAAGUGGAAGGCAGUCUGUUACAAGU